GUAGGUGAACCUGCGGAAGGAUCAUUAUUGAAAAGGGAACCCUUCGGGGUUCAACCUUAAACCCUAUGUCUUAAUUACCUGUUUCUUUGGCGGGCUUGCCCGUCAGAAGUUUUCUCAAACCCAUUAUAAAUGUGUCAUCUGAAUAACAAACUAAAUAAAUUAAAACUUUCAACAACGGAUCUCUUGGUUCUG
rnacentral:misc_RNA from 1 species